GUGGAUGUAGCUCAAUGGUAGAGCCCCGGUUUGUGGUACCGGUGGUUGUGGGUUCGAGUCCCAUCAUCCACCCCA
rnacentral:tRNA from 1 species